AUGAGUUCAUGCCCUCACGGGUAGACCUCCACCCUUGCUUAUUAUAUACAUGUUGCUUUGGCGGAAUAAGCUUUCCCCUUCACUGGGGUUAGCCGCCGCCGCCAGAGGACCUCAAACCCUGAAUAAUAGUGUCGUCUGAGUACUAUAUAAUAGUUA
rnacentral:misc_RNA from 1 species